rnacentral:rRNA from 1 species
GUAGUCCACGCCGUAAACGAUGAAUACUAGGUGUGGGGUUAUCAUGACCUCCGUGCCGCAGUUAACACAAUAAGUAUUCCGCCUGGGGAGUACGGUCGCAAGAUUAAAACUCAAAGGAAUUGACGGGGGCCCGCACAAGCAGCGGAGCAUGUGGUUUAAUUCGAAGCAACGCGAAGAACCUUACCUAGACUUGACAUCUCCUGAAUUACCGGUAAUGCGGGAAGCCCUUCGGGGCAGGAAGACAGGUGGUGCAUGGUUGUCGUCAGCUCGUGUCGUGAGAUGUUGGGUUAAGUCCCGCAACGAGCGCAACCCUUGUCGUUAGUUGCUACCAUUAAGUUGAGCACUCUAGCGAGACUGCCGCGGUUAACGCGGAGGAAGGUGGGGAUGACGUCAAAUCAUCAUGCCCCUUAUGUCUAGGGCUACACACGUGCUACAAUGGUCGGUACAAUGAGACGCAAUACCGCGAGGUGGAGCAAAAACUUAUAAAACCGAUCCCAGUUCGGAUUGCAGGCUGAAACUCGCCUGCAUGAAGCCGGAGUUGCUAGUAAUCGCGAAUCAGAAUGUCGCGGUGAAUACGUUCCCGGGCCUUGUACACACCGCCCGUCACACCAUGAGAGUUGGCAAUACCCGAAGUCCGUGAGGUAACCGCAAGGGGCCAGCGGCCGAAGGUAGGGUCAGCGAUUGGGGUGAAGUCGUAACAAGGUAGCCGUAGGAGAACCUC